AAGUCGUAACAAGGUUUCCGUAGGUGAACCUGCGGAAGGAUCAUUAACACGUUUUAUCACAAAACAAACCAAACUCUGUGAACUGAGGUGAGACGAAAGUCUUGCCGAACUUUAUUUAACCGAUAUAGCCUCGUUAAGGAGCUACUUGUAGCGCCUUUUCAGGUAUAACUGUUAUUUUCUCUUAUGUGCAUCUGCUGACACCGAUACGUGUUGCAGAGUCACUUAAAACAAACUCGAACAACUCUUAGCAACGGAUAUCUUGGUUCCCA
rnacentral:misc_RNA from 1 species